GCGCGAGCGGCCAAAGGGAGCAGACUGUAAAUCUGCCGUCAUCGACUUCGAAGGUUCGAAUCCUUCCCCCACCA
rnacentral:tRNA from 1 species